CACUGUACCACUUACACAAACAUACAAGUAAUAAGUGUUUAAAUGCAAUUUAUUUUCUGUUUCUGCAGCUUGAACCUGUGUUCCAAAGGACAUUCCCUUCCUCCUUUAAGUCCUUGGAUGUGGUGUCAUUCAGAAAUGGCUCAAUCAUCAGCGAAAUGAACGUUCUCUUUGCAAGCACAUUUGUUCCUAAUAACACUCAGAUUUCGAGCGCUUUGAUCAGUGCUGCUUCAGUCGUCACCGGCUUUGACAUUGAAGGCAGUUCCAUCAACGUGAACGGCACACCAUCAAGUGGAGUAAGCCACAAGAUCAGUUUCAUUACCGCAUCCUGCCUGGUACUGUUGUCCUGGAUUUUCUCAAGCCAGCAAUAGCUUCAGUGCUGAAUUCCAUUUCAUUGCUAUCAGAACAUGAAUGCCAUCACUGGUAUGAAAAGGGACUUUGUUGUUAAUAGUCCAAGAUUCAAUAUUGGUUUUGGUCUUUGGUCUUGUAUGGCUUCGGAUGACCUUACAAUCAAAUGUACCUUUCCCUGACCGGAACUAUUAAUGACUAUGAAUUAGGUUUGUCUGUCGAACACUUUAAGCACCCGGUCCACUGAAUUGUGAUAAAAUAAAAAGCUCAACCAAAUAACAGUAUUUAUUAAGCCCUGGGAUGUCAAUUAUUAUUUGCAAUAUUUUACUAUUUAUGUCAAAUGUAAUAUAUAUAGUACAUGCAUUUUGGUUCUCUGGGCACUGUACUAUAAAAAUAUUUAACUUUGUGUAAAAAUCACUCUCACCAUUGCUUGAAUGUAGUUUCCAAAAGCAUGUAAAAUUCAUGUUUAGGUUUCACUUGCUAACCUAGCUGCAUGACAUACUAGCAUAACAUAGCAGCACGAACAUAGCAACAUAACAUAGGAUAACAACACAACAUGGUCAUUGUAUAAAUUAUAUAUAUGUAUAAACAACGCUUUGUCAAUUUUUUUUAUUUAUGCAAAGUUUAUUUAUGUAAUCAUAUGUAAAGCUGUAUUCU